CGUCUCAUUAUUCUCAAAAUAAUGUUAUUCAUCUAGACUGGAUCUUCAGUCUAAGUGACAUAUUUUUAUUGAACAAUGAAAAUGUGCACAUGUCUAUGUUUAUUGUACAUCUUUUCAUUGUCUAAUAAAAACAUAUCAUCUAAGCUGAAGUCUAGAUGAAUAACAUUAUUCUUAUUCUCACUGAUCUCCCGAUCUCUUUAAUUAAUUUGUCCACUAACUAGCUAUAGCUUGUUGUCAGAGAUUGAAUAUGUAUAUAUAUAUAUAUUCAUUAACAUCAAUAUUAAAUUGUUGAUCUUUCUUAUAUAUUUGAUGCGUACACUCCAUAGAGAGGCCCUCCUCCUUUUCCUUCUCUGUUUGAAUAAUUAUUAUAUGAUUAGUGGGAACUAUCGGAGACUUCGGCUAGUUGCGCGGUCGGGAUUAAUUUACAGAGAAAAAGAUUUCAAAUUCGAAGAAUACGUACAGGGCAAGGAGCUUACCUCUUUGAUGAAUGGUGGCCACAGAACCCAAAGCAACGGCCGUCACAGCUUAGCCUAUUUCAUCUUCACACACACACACACAUACACACAGAUAUAUAUAUAUAUAUAUAUAGACUUUUCUCCACUUCUCUCCCUCUACUCCACUCGUAUGAUAUGUAUGUAUGUGCCUACGCUGUUAUUGCACCAGAAAAUUAAUCUGAUCUCUUUGACUAGCUAGGAUCCCGCAACGCAAAAUGUUCUUUUGAAUUCACUUUUGCACAGCCCCACCCCCAUCUCUCUGUUUCUUUCUUUUCAAUUUUUCAGUUACUUUAAUUCAAACCAAUCUACCGUUCUUGUUAAUUAAUUCACAUCACUUUCAAUAUUUAAGCACGUUCCCCACUAUCUUUGUUUUUAAUUUGUUGACAUUAUUUCGUUCUUCCCAAAGGGCACAAACAUCUUUCAAAUGCUCAAACCCCAUCAUCAUCUGCAACAAAGAUCGUUUUAUAAUCAGUCAGAUCUAGUCUUGAAGCAAACCCAUUUCCAUUUUGUUAUUGUUUCGUUGAUUGUAUGGAGCAUACGACCAACUCACUGUCAACUUCUGUUGCUUCCUGUUUACCCAUUUCACUUGAGUUGGGGCGGCGGCAUGGAGGAGGGGCUGAACGAAAUGAGGAAGUCUUUACAAUUUAUUUUUUCUAAGGAUAUAUUGGAGGAAAAAGGAGAGCUGGAUGUAAUUGUAAUGAAUUUGUAAACAAAUCAACAAGGGCAAUGUGUCAUUUUAACACUAUCCUUGAUUUUGAUGCAAAGUGAUCAUUUUCCCUAAUUAUCACUUUUGGUUGGUCAAGGAGACAGAUUUUUUUGUGGUAGAGAUUGUACUCAAUAGGAUGAGAAAAGGGAUCCCUGCAUGCAUUUUUUCUUCUAAACAAUGAUGGCCUAUCGCAACCUUCGCCACAUUUGAAGCCCCUAACUUGAGGAUGGUACGCACAUGAAAACUACGAAGGAAUUAUCUAAUUUGAUAAUACAACAUUUCUAGAAACUUAUGGAUCCUAGACAAUCCCCCAGUCACCCGAGCCUUGUGGAAGUGGCAAUGUAUGUUGAUAGAGGUCUUUGUAUGAUCAAUGGACAUGCCUGAUUUAUCUUGUUACAGUGGAAGAGAUUAAGCAGGCCAUCUUCAACAUAGGUGAAGACAAAGCCCCAAGUCCAGAAGGUUUUACGUUCAAGUUCUUUAGGAAAGCUUGGGAUUUUGUGGAUGCUAUUCAGAGCUUCUUUCAGAGGGGAGAUUUUCAAGAUGGGGUCAAUGCUACCAUUAUCAGUUUCAUUCCCAAGGUUGCCCAAUUGAGAUGGUUAGUCAAUGCCGCCUAAUAUCAUGCUAUAACGUCAUUUAUAAAUUUAUUUCCAAGGUUUUACCUAAUUGGCUUAAAGUAGUCCUUCCUGAUUUGGUGGAUAUCUCUCAAAUUGUUGCUAUUAUGGGGAGAUCUAUAUUGGAGACAAUAUUCUUCUAGCGCAAAAGCUGUUUCACUAGUAUGUGUGGUGAAGGUUGAUCUUGCAAAGGCUUAUGAUUUUGUGGAUUGGGAUUUCUUAAUAAUGGUGCUUUGCCUUAUGAAUUUUCCUCCCAAAUUCUGUGUUUGGAUUUGAGUUUGUAUAACAUCAAAGUUUUCAGUGAAAAUUAAUAGAGAUCUUCAUGGUUUCUUCUCUUGUUAGGAAACCCAUUAUCUCUAUAUCUUUUUGUUUUAGUUAUGCAGGUUGCUCAUAAGAUUGUAAGAUGUCACUCCUACGUUGAUGAUUUUCAAUACCAUGGGCAUUGUGAGAGGUCCAGGAUUAUCAUGUUGAUGUUUGUUGAUGACCUGCUGAUGGAAACUAUGAAAUCAUGUCUGGAUAAAUUUGCAAUCCCUUUAGGUCUUGAAGCCAAUUUCAUAAAAAGUGAUUGAUUUAUAUCUUGCUCUGAUGAAAUCAUAAAAGGAAGAGUUGGUUUUGGCCUCUGGUUUUUAGAAAGAAGCAUGUUGGAGUGUGGACAAAUAGGCUUCUAUCAUUUCGGGGGCAUCUUCAGCUUGUUAGGUGGCUUGGAAGGAGGUAUGCUGCGCUAAGGAGCAAGGAAGGUUGAGCAUAAAACCCUCUUUGUAUGGAAUCAAGCUCUAGUUGCAAAGCUUAUUUGGCUCAUGUUACAGAACUCUAAGGAGACUGUGUGGAUUCAAUGGGUGCACUCUUACCACUUGAAGGGUCGGUGCUUCUGAAUUCUCCAUAUUCCAUAUUUCUACCUACGGUAUUGCAGGAAGCUCAUCCUGCUCCGAGAUUGGGUUUGUAGGCAUUUUCAAUGGCACCUUGGAAACGGGCAUAAUGCAUUCCUUUAGUAUGAUCUAUGACACCCUUUGGGCGUUUUGAUUGAGCAAUAUUCCUUACCGUUGCUUGCACAAGUGGAUCUAUCUAUAGAGGCCAGAGUCUCAGCGAUUAUUGAGGGAAGGGAUUGGUGUUGGCCCCAGGGGAACCUUAUUCUUCCAGUAGAGAUUUAUGAGUCUAUGCCCUCUCUUUCGUUGGUGGAGCAAGAAGAUUUUCUUUAAUGAACGUCAACUAAGGAUAUCAUGCCUUUCUCACCCUCGAGUGAGAAUCCUUUGGCAUUCCUUGGUGUGGCAUAGUUCAAGGAUUCCAGCGCACACUUUCAUCCUUUGGCUGACCAACAAGGAAAGAUUGUCUACUUUGGAUCAUAUGAACUUAUAUAUGUCUUUUCCAUAUAGAUGCUUUUUGUGCAAAGAUGCAAUGAAAAGACAAUCACUUAUUUUUUGGAUGACCAUACGUGAGGAAGAUCUUGAAUCUCUUUAAGGGAGAGCCAAAUUUGCUUGGUUGUGGCAACAAUGUAAUCAAGGAGUUUUGUGAGCUUCAAAUGGAGAGACAAAGGUCCUUGGCAA